AGUGAACGCUGGCGGUAGGCCUAACACAUGCAAGUCGAACGGCAGCACAGUAAGAGCUUGCUCUUACGGGUGGCGAGUGGCGGACGGGUGAGGAAUACAUCGGAAUCUACUUUUUCGUGGGGGAUAACGUAGGGAAACUUACGCUAAUACCGCAUACGACCUACGGGUGAAAGCAGGGGAUCUUCGGACCUUGCGCGAUUGAAUGAGCCGAUGUCGGAUUAGCUAGUUGGCGGGGUAAAGGCCCACCAAGGCGACGAUCCGUAGCUGGUCUGAGAGGAUGACCAGCCACACUGGAACUGAGACACGGUCCAGACUCCUACGGGAGGCAGCAGUGGGGAAUAUUGACAAUGGGCGCAAGCCUGAUCCAGCCAUACCGCGUGGGUGAAGAAGGCCUUCGGGUUGUAAAGCCCUUUUGUUGGGAAAGAAAAGCAGCAGGUUAAUACCCCGCUGUUCUGACGGUACCCAAAGAAUAAGCACCGGCUAACUUCGUG
rnacentral:rRNA from 1 species